AUUGAACGCUAGCGGCAUGCUUUACACAUGCAAGUCGAACGAGUGGCGGACGGGUGAGUAAUAUAUCGGAACGUGCCUAAUAGCGGGGGAUAACUACUCGAAAGCGUGGCUAAUACCGCAUACUAUUGGAGCGGCCGAUAUGGGAUUAGCUAGUUGGUGAGGUAAAGGCUCACCAAGGCAACGAUCCGUAGCUGGUCUGAGAGGAUGACCAGCCACACUGGGACUGAGACACGGCCCAGACUCCUACGGGAGGCAGCAGUGGGGAAUGUUGGACAAUGGGGGAAACCCUGAUCCAGCCAUCCCGCGUGUAUGAGAAGGCCUUCGGGUUGUAAAGUUCUUUUGGUAGAGAAGCGGUAUCUGCAGAAUAAGCACCGGCUAACUACGUGCCAGCAGCCGCGGUAAUAC
rnacentral:rRNA from 1 species